GAUGAACGCUGGCGGCGUGCCUAAUACAUGCAAGUCGAGCGAAUGGAUUAAGAGCUUGCUCUUAUGAAGUUAGCGGCGGACGGGUGUGUAACACGUGGGUAACCUGCCCAUAAGACUGGGAUAACACCGGGAAACCGGGGCUCAUACCGGAUAAGAUUUUGAACCGCAUGGGUCGACAUUGUAAGGCGGGUGCGGCUGUCACUUAUGGAUGGAACCGCGUCGCAUUAGCUAGUUGGUGAGGUGACGGCUCACCAAGGCAAUGAGGCGUAGCCGACCUGAGAGGGUGAUCGGCCACACUGGGACUGAGACACGGCCCAGACUCCGACGGGAGGCAGCAGUAGGGAAUCUUCCGCAAUGGACGAAAGUCUGACGGAGCAACGCCGCGUGAGUGAUGAAGGCUUUCGGGUCGUAAAACUCUGUUGUUAGGGAAGAACAAGUGCUAGUUGUAUAAGCUGGCACCUUGACGGUACCUAACCAGAAAGCCACGGCUAACUACGUGCCAGCCGCCGCGGUAA
rnacentral:rRNA from 1 species